rnacentral:lncRNA from 1 species
UUAACUUAUACACAAAGCAUAAACUAUCUAACACAUAACAAUACUAUUCUUCAACCAUACUUUUACAAAUUAGCUGCACAUUAUAUCCCAAGCUGAACUUGGCAUUUUCCUUUUCCUGUAACUGGCCGUAUUCGCCUUAUCUGCAAUGUUUUAUCAUGAUAUAGCAAGGGUGAGCAUGAAAGUUGCCCAACAAGUUUAAAAACAAGGUAAAGAUAUAUCAUGAUGGAAAGAGUUUGAAUAAUAAGCUGGCUAUCCUUCACAAUGUAUUUGUGAAUUAGCAUGAACAAAGUUUUGACUGAACAAGUAUUGAACAUGAACAAUGGUAUAUCUGGACCAACUGGUAAUGAAGGUGAUCAGCUUUUCAUACCCUACUUAUACAUGCAAGAUGUACAUAGUACAAUUCAUAAGCAUAUCUGUCUGAAACCACUCUUAAAAGAGUUUAAGUAAAAAGAACUUGAAAAACUUGCCUGAACCAUUGAUUACCGUAACGCAAUAUAAUAAGCUUCUCCUGAAGACCUAAUAUUAAUAAUAUAGAUCUCCAAUAUUAGAAUAAUAUCAUCACCGUUAUAAAAUAACUUAAACACAUAAUCCUAUCAGUCUAUACAGCAUAUAAAACCUAUAAUAGAUCUUUCGGUUAGUCAUAACAUAUAGUUAAGUAUUAGACAUUAGUUUUAAGUCUUAAUAUUAUUAUUAUACUUUGAUAUUCUUUUAAUCACAUCAUAACUUAUACUUAUAAGUUAUUCAUUUUUAUAUGUUAUCCUAGUAAAUUAGAUAACAUCUUAGUAAACCGAAAUACCAUUUCAGUAAGACGGAUUUUAUUUCAGUAUCCCGAAAUCACUAUUCUUUUUCACGAAAAAUACCAAAUCAACUUAUUAUUUUUU